UCGCGGUGGCGGAGCGUCGUUUGCGACGCCCAACACACAAAACAAGCGGUGAGUGCUUUGGGGUGGGGUGACUGCGUACCUUUUGUAUAAUGGGUCAGCGACUUAUAUUCUGUAGCAAGGUUAACCGUAUAGGGGAGCCGGAGGGAAACCGAGUCUUAACUGGGCGUUAAGUUGCAGGGUAUAGACCCGAAACCCGGUGAUCUAGCCAUGGGCAGGUUGAAGGUUGGGUAACACUAACUGGAGGACCGAACCGACUAAUGUUGAAAAAUUAGCGGAUGACUUGUGGCUGGGGGUGAAAGGCCAAUCAAACCGGGAGAUAGCUGGUUCUCCCCGAAAGCUAUUUAGGUAGCGCCUCGUGAACUCAUCUUCGGGGGUAGAGCACUGUUUCGGCUAGGGGGUCAUCCCGACUUACCAACCCGAUGCAAACUGCGAAUACCGAAGAAUGUUAUCACGGGAGACACACGGCGGGUGCUAACGUCCGUCGUGAAGAGGGAAACAACCCAGACCGCCAGCUAAGGUCCCAAAGUCACAGUUAAGUGGGAAACGAUGUGGGAAGGCUCAGACAGCCAGGAUGUUGGCUUAGAAGCAGCCAUCAUUUAAAGAAAGCGUAAUAGCUCACUGGUCGAGUCGGCCUGCGCGGAAGAUGUAACGGGGCUAAACUGUGCACCGAAGCUGCGGCAGCGACGCUUAUGCGUUGUUGGGUAGGGGAGCGUUCUGUAAGCCUGCGAAGGUGUCCUGUGAGGGAUGCUGGAGGUAUCAGAAGUGCGAAUGCUGACAUAAGUAACGAUAAUGCGGGUGAAAAGCCCGCUCGCCGGAAGACCAAGGGUUCCUGUCCAACGUUAAUCGGGGCAGGGUGAGUCGACCCCUAAGGCGAGGCCGAAAGGCGUAGUCGAUGGGAAACGGGUUAAUAUUCCCGUA
rnacentral:rRNA from 1 species